ACAUCAUGUUGUAUAGCUCUAGCAAUUUGUUUAUCAAGAAAUUCACCAAGUGGCACAUCAUCAUUAUCAAGCAAGGUACUAGCAUCAUCAUAAGCAUCAUUCAUAGUAGGAGUAGCAUCAUCAAUAACUUGCGACAUAUCAGAAUUAAUAGCAUGUGGUGAUGUUGCAAGUUUACUCAUAACAAAAGGUGAAUAUAAAGCAGAACUGGAUCGGAGUUCCUUACCUCCCCUCGUAUUUGAGGGAAAUGUCUUAGUCUUUGGAUCCUUCAGAUUCUUCAUAGUGAUAAUAUGAUAAUAAUCCCAAGUGACUCAACAAAUAUAGCUAUGCUCCCCGGCAACGGCGCCAGAAAAAGGUCUUGAUAACCCACAAGUUUAGGGGACCGCAAUUGUUUUCGAGGAUAGAAUAUUCAACACAAAUUUAUAGAUUCAACACAAGGGAGCCAAAGAAUAUUUGAAGGUAUUAGCAGCUGAGUUGUCAAUUCAACCACACCUGAGAUUAAUUACCUGCAGCAAAGUGAUCAGUAGAAAAGUAGUUUGAUAGUUUUGAUAGUAGUGACAACAAUAAUAGUAACACUAAGAGUGAUAGUAGUAAUUUUGUAGCAAGUGUAACAGUGAUGACAACAGUAGUAACUUAGCAGAAACAAUAUGGAAAAGUUCAUAGGCAUUGGAUCGGUGACUUGUUGGAUUAUAUUCAUCAUGUGACAGUUAUAACCUAGGGCGAUACGACACUAGCUCCAGUUCAUCGAUAUAAUGUAGGCAUGUAUUCCGUAAAUAGUCAUACAUGCUUUAUUAAAAGAACUUGCAUGCCAUCUUUUGUCCUACCCUCCUGUGGCAGCGGGGUCCAUAUUGGAAACUAAGGAAUAUUAAGGCCUCCUUUUAGUAGAGAACUGGAACAAAGCAUUAACACAUAGUGAAUACAUGAACUCCUCAAACUAUGGCCAUCACCGAGAGUGGGCCCGGUUGUUGUCACUCCGGGGGUGUUGGAUCAUAACACAUAGUAGGUAACUAUAACUUGCAAGAUCGGAUCUAGAACAUGGAUAUAAUGAUAAAUUCAUAAACGGUUCAGAUCUGAAAUCAUGGCACCCGGGCCCAAAGUGACAAGCAUUAAGCAUAGCAAAGUCAUAGCAACAUCAAUCUAAGAACAUAGUGGAUACUAGGGAUCAGGCCCUAACAAAACUAAUUCGAUUACAUGAUGAAUCUCAUCCAACUCCUCACUGACCAGCGAGCCUACGAAGGAAUUACCCACUCCCGGUGGGGAGCAUCAUGGAAUUGGCGAUGGAGAAGGGUUGGUGAUGACGAAGAACGAAGACCCCCCUCCUCGGAGCCCCAAACGGAAUCUAGAUCUGCCCUCCCGAGGAAAAACAGGGCUUGGCGGCGGCUCCGUCUCGUGGAUCGCGAUAAUUCUUUCUCCCUGUCUGUGAUUUUAUAGUAUCAGGGGGUUGUCAGCGAGGCCACCAGGUGGGUACAACCCACCUGGGCGCGCCAGGAGAGGGGGGCGCGCCCCGGUGGGUUGUGCCCACCCAGGGCCCCCUCUCCGGUAGGUCUUGACUCCAGAAAUUCUUAUUAUUGAUAUAAAAAUUCCUCAAAAAGUUUCGUUCCAUUCUGAGAACUUUUAUUUCUGCAUAAAAGCAACACCAUGGUAGUUCUGCUGAAAACAGCGUUAGUCCGGGGUUAGUUUCAUUCAAAUCAAGUAAAUUAGAGUGCAAAACAAGAGGAAAAGCGUGAGAAAAAAUAGAUACGUUGGAGAUAUCAAUUAUAGCUGGCCAAAUGGGCCCGGCCAAACAGGCUAGCCCGCGAGCACGCCGGCACGACCCGCCAUGGGCCAGGCACGACACGGGCUAAACGGACUGUGCUCGGCACGCGGCUCGCCUUGGGCCUAAAGCCCAGGCACGUGGGCCGGCACGGCCCGUUUAUUUUAUAUAUAUAUCGGAUUUUUUUAUAAAUGUAUCCAUAAAAUAUAGCCCAAUAGGCCUAAAAACCAACCCAACAGACUGAAAAUAUGCAGCCCAGCAUGCUAAACGGGUCAUCGGGCCAGCCUGUUUACUAAUCAGGCCGUGCCUGGGCCAAGGAGCAGCGCCCAUGGGCCGACACGGCAUGACCCGACUAUUAAACAUGCCACGGCGGGCCGUGCCGGGCCAGGCACGAUUAGCACAGGCUGGGCUGUGCCGUGCCGGGCCGGCCCGUUUGGCCAGGUAUGAUUAUCAAUCCCCCGAUUUGCUGCCUUCCUGGCCAUCGGAUUGUCCUUGUUUUGAGCCCGGGCCGUCAGAUCUUUACCUUUUGGUAAAUCUUGUUUUCACCCUGCAGUUGUUUUUUCUGCCCAAUGACGGGUGGGUCCGUCUCACCCUUGUAUUGGCUGGGUCAGCUGCGCUCGUGUGCAAAAGGGAUUCGCCAGUCAGCUCCGCACGCGCUGCACCAUGUCUCGUCUCAAGUCGCGGAGGUCCCCAACCCCACCGCACAAACCCUAAGAGCAUCUCGAGUCGAUGGCCCCCCAGGGGCGCCUAAAAUCGCCGCCUGGAGGUGAGCCGGUGCAAAAAUUGGGCCUGGGGGCGAGUUGGUCCCCAGCUGCCGGCCCCAGGGCCGCCUCCAGGCGCGUUUAAAAAAAAUUUGUAUAGCAAAUUUUGGCACAGUUCGGCUAAACACGAUAAAUUUCGGCAAACUUGGGCAUAUAUUAGACAUGUUCGCGGAUUUUCAUUACAUAGCAAAAUAGUUAACUAAUCUGAAAAAGAAACUGGCUGAACGCCGAGUAGUCGCCGUCGUCGCCGUCGUCGUCAGACUUCUCCUCCUUGACGCGGCCGUCCCUGGUGGACCCCUGACCGGCGUCGCCAACGCGGGCUGGUGGCGGCGACGCAUCGUCGUCGUCGCUGUCGCAGAUGACGAUGACUCCGCCUUCGUCGCGGCCGCGUCGGCGCUCCGCGAAGCGGUGCAGGGCCGCGCACUGGUGCUCCUUCGCCUUCUCCAGGCGCUCCUUCUCCAUCGCUAUGGAGUCCCUGCGCGCCCAUUCUAGGGCUGCGUCGUCGUCGUCGAGCUCCGUCUUCACCGGCGCGGCUGGCUCCUUCUACACCGGCGCGAGCCCCGGCUCCGUCUUUGGCUUGACGAAGCGCGGAGGAGGAGCCGGCGAGGAGGCGCGUCGGCCGGCCUCGUUGAUGAUGAUGCCGGCGCUGCGAGUGCGCCGGCCGAGCAGCGUCUCCACCGCGGGCUCGACCUUGACGCCGAGCAGGGCCGGAGUACCGGAGGAGUGCGAGGAAGAUCGCGAGGAGGAAGAAGAGGAGGAGGACCCGAACCUCCUUGACGCCCAUGGCCCGGCGCGUCGGUGGUGCGCCGGGGCGGCCACCCUCGCCGGGUACGCUAACGGCGGGUCGUUGCCGCCCUCGAGGUACGUCAGCACGCCCUCGAGUGUGUGGCCAGGGACACCCCACCACAGGUGGCGCCCCUCGCUGUUCUUCUGGCCACCGACCACCGGCGCGCCGUUGGUGGACGCCAACCGCUACUGCUGGCGGCGCUCGAAGUACGCCGGCCAAGCCGCGUGGUUGUCGGCGGCGUACUGGGGAAGGGAGAGCUGGGCGUCGGUAAGGGAGGCGCGUACGACCUCGACCUCCUCGGCGAAGUAUUUGGGCUUGGCCACGGCGUCGGGCAACGGGGGAAUGAGCACUCCGCCGUCGCUGAGUCUCCACCCUGUCGGCCCGGCGCGCAUGUCCGGCGGCGCCGGGAUGUUCGCCUGGAAUAGGAGCCAGGACUCCUGUUCGCGCAGCGAACGGCGGCCGAAGCCGUUGGCCGCCGCCUCGUCUCCGGGGAAACGCUCUGCCAUGGCGACGGGCUCGGGAAAGGUAGAGAGGGAGAGGGAGGGGCUGGGCGGCGGCGAGGGACGGGGCUGGUGUGGGCACAUGCGAGUGAGGCCACCGGCUAUAUAGCCGCGCCGCGCCAGUGUGUACGCGUGCGAGGGAGAGGAGGCGUUGGUGCGCCGUCCCGUGACGCGCCGCCUGUGAGGAAUCAAUGGCAAGACUGACCGGCGGCAACCUUGCCAUUAAUUCCCCGCAGGAACCGAGACCGUUGGGGAAGACGAGGCGCUGUGUCGUUGACGCGGCUGGCCCGCGGCUUUUUCGCGCCAAAGCAGCUCGCCCCGACGUCCCCGGGCGCCCCAGCGCGCCGGGUUCAGCCUGGGUCUGUCGACACUGUUUUCGGUUUAUGCCGGCGAAAAUCAGGCUUCUGGGACACGAUGGGUCGUUUUUUCGGUGCCGGUGCAGAAAAAAUCGCGUGGGAGGCCUUCCUGGGCGCGGCUGGAGAUGCUCUAACGCUCUUCCUCGUCAUCCACCUCCCCCAUUCUGCCUCGCUCCUCUCUGUCCGAUGACCACGCCACCGCGAGGAAGCGGCCGCGCAAGAGGUCAGGGGCCGCCGCCACCGCGAGCCAGGGGAUGCCCAUGGCGAGCCUUUGGGCACGAAGCCGGCGGGGAGUACGCAACAAGCCGCGGCUGCAGCCAGGGUCUUCUCGCUAGAAGUGGAGGCGUAGAGGAUCCCGCCGGAUCCGAGGCGUGCGGGCACGGGGGCGAGCGUCUCCAGCAUCAGCGGCGACCUGCAGGCAAAGGGCGACGGCUGGGGCGCUCGAUUCGAUCCAGCGCCAUGAGGGAGAGAGAGAUGUGGGAAGUAGAGAAGGAAGGAGAGGAGGUAUAAAUAGAGAGGAAAGAUGAGAGGGAGGUGCAGCAGCAGAUGGGAGAGGAACACCAGCCGGCGCAGGCCAUUCCCACCUCUCCUCCUUUCCUGCUCUUGACCACCACGGUGAACGCCAAGAGGAGGAGAGGUGGAGACAGAGCCAGCAAGGAAGAUUGGUCAACGCCAAGGAAGACGGGGAAUACAGAGCCAGCAAGGAAGAUGGCCUAGCCCUGCUGCCGAUGCCCACCGGCCACUUCAGUUGGGCGCCGUCCGUUCUUUUUUUUCUUUUAGUUUUGGAUGAAAGUUCUCUUUUACAUUGAGUAUCCCUUUUCUGGUAUAAAAUGGAUUCAACAGCCAAUUUUGGCUAAAGAACAAACUAUCAGUAAAGAAGGGCAAACUGACAGAGGUGGGCAAAACAACUUUUUUUUUAGGAAGAGGUGUGCAAAACAACUUGAGCAAAUAGCUAAAUUACUAUGAGAUGCUAUUCCCUCCGUUCGGAAUUACUUGUCUCGAGAAUGGAUGUAUCUAGAACUAGAAUACAUCUAAAUACAUCCAUUUCUGCGACAAGUAAUUCCGAACGGAGGGAGUACUUUCCAGUGAUUAAUUGCGUCCUUUUAAAUUUUUAGUAGGAACUCAAAAGUUUAAUGAAGAUAGGGAGUUGCAUUUUAUUCUUAUCCACAUGCUUACUGAAUUUACAUUUUUAUCUGGAAAGAGGUAGCCUUAAACAAUCUAGAUUUUUUUACCAGAAUCCCUCAAAAACUAACCUGCUACAAAUAUGAAAUGGCAUUGCAUUGUUACUUCUGUGGGAAGUUCCUAUACAUACUCUCUGUUUCUCUGGAAUUGGUUGAACGUGUUUCUUCUGCUACCACUCUCUGACUAGUCUUGUUACCUUUGUUGCUGAAUUUUGAAUUGCUACAGAUGGAAGACAUUACGCUGUUGAAGGAGUCCAUCAAGAACUGGAGGCAAUAUUAAUGGCCUACGACAUGGGCAGGUAUGUGCUUCAUGAUUGUUGUUGGUUAAUUGAGAAUAUGUGAUGCUCGAAGAAAUGAUGUGCAUUCAGACUAAAUAUUUUAUCUACAUCUACAACUUAAUGUUUCAUGUUAAGAAAAUAUAUCCCAUAUUUCCCCUUAGUGGCGGAGAGCCGGAGAGCAUAUUUGAGCAGCUGACCAGAGGCUGGGCAUCUCCGUCAGUUUAAUUUGUUUGCGUAUGUUCACUCUUUUCUGUUUUCCAAGUGUUGAGUGGCUGCAUUUUUGUUUGCUUUGCUGCUGUUGUGCUUGAUAUGAGCAAGACUAGGGGCAUGGCAGUUGGGCAUGGGGCAUAAACAAUUCAUAGUAUUAGUGUCCAUGCCUAUAUGUCAGGUUAUACGCCUUUGUAAUGUAAUCAGCCAUGCCUGUCAAUGCAGGGGUUUAAAAUACGUAAGCUGAUGCAUCUUGUGCUAGCUUGUCACUGUGUUUCUACUAGGAAAGGUCUGCAAUAGAUUAUAUAUUCAUUCAAAUAUGACAUGGUCUUCUUCCUUUGCCUUCGUCAACAUAUUUGUUUGGGCGUUCCUUUUCUCUGUACUUUGUUUGGGAACUGUUUUCCCUAUGCAUGUCCUUUUUGAUUAUAAGUUCAUGAGCUAAUUUGGUCAUAAUAUACUAAAAGUACUCUUGCACAACAGAAUUCUCUUCUUUACAUGUUUGGUCACAAUAUAGCUCUGUCCUAAAAUCUACUUUGCUUUCGGUUUGAAUCUGUCAUGACUUGGAUAGAUAUACUCUAGACCUUGAUAUACGAGUACGUAAAUGAAGAAGUGUACAUCUUGGUCAUUGCAAUUUUUCCCUGUUCAUUUUAAAAAGAGUGGAUUACAAUUCUCCGGGAGCAACGCUUCUGAGGUAGCUAUUCAUCCAUCUUGCUUUUUAGAAAACUUGCGACCACAGAGCACAGAGGCCGAAGUCGCCACCCUGUAAUGUCGCGCUGAUGGUAGCACAUACUGCUUUGCCGAUGAAUAAUAUCGUAACAGCUAAUGUUUAAAUUUUCAUGCCGCUUCAGCUAACCUGUGAAUAGGUCUACACACUGCACCUACAUGUUUUGAUGACCGUACACUGUUGCCGUAGCUGGCCAAUAUGAUGCUAUGUUUAAUGAAGCUUUUGAAUAUUUUAUUAGCAUAGCUCUGACAGGUAAGGAUACUUUAGGUUGCAGCUCAACUAUGUAUCUGUGGAUAUUACACUUACAACAUGCUAUUUCUUCUUUUUUGGACAUAACUAUGAUACUUUAGGUCGCAUGCUCAACUAUGUAUAUGUGAAUUGUGGGUCAGCUAUGAGGUGAACGUUUUGAGUAUUCUAUUACUACGUCUUUCAAAGGUUAGGGUACUUUAUGUAUCAGCCGUGCCUCUCCAUUCCUGCCUUCCCUGCUUAGCCAGAAGAGGUGGUAUAGUGGAGCAAGCAUCAGGUGACAAGGCUUAUUUCUUUAUUUGGACCUAAAUUUCCGAGUCUAUUAUCAUAAACCUUACGUUAAUAUUCAUUCCUAGCCGUACUCCUAUUAUUUUGUAUCGCCAUUCUACAAAUGCUUCAGCGAAACUUUUCUUUGUUUUAGUCCUUGACAGUUUUGUCAUCUUCCAAUAGAAAUUGCUCCAUAUAACAGCAGGGGAGGCCCCUACUGUAUCCAUCUAUAUAUUUUCCUUCUGGAAGCAUCUGAUGUGAAGUUUAUUCUGGUGUAUGAAAUAAGUAGUUGAUUGUGCUGUCUUUUAAAUGAGCAAGGCAUGAGAGAAAGAUUAUGUUACCAUGGCAACCAUCUUUUAGUCAACGAUUAAGCUGAUGUUCUGUGAAAUUUAAAAACUAAGUUGAUAAUUGGCUUGGUUUGCAUUAGAAGUGUGUGUGCCUCCUUUUAUUUGUUCUCUUUUUGUUCAAUUCCUUAUUUCUAUAAGAUUUAUGUAAUUAUGUUUAUGUUAGAAGGUUUAGAUGCCAUACUCUACAUGGACUGUUACUAAAAGAAUUUUCUAUUGUUCUUAGGUACCAAUCAGGUUAUUGAUGCCGCCGGAUAGCUCUCGUUGGCCAUAAUGUGAUUAGGUAACAUCCUGUUAUUAAAGCUGUUAUGGGUAUAUGCUGCUGCUACAUAAUUGUACUCUUAUGUGGUCAGCCAAGUGUUCUUCUGGAUCUACCUUUGUGUAAUGUAUAACUGAAGUACGAUUAUUUUCUUGCAUACACUAAGCAUACUAUUGUUUGUAUUUCCUUUGUUCGGUAAACGACAAUACAAGCUAUGUUUGUGCCAUGAUUCUAUUCCAAUUUUUUUACCUACUGGCGAUUAAUGACUUUAAAUGUUUUGUAUUGAAAUGGAUCAUUUUAUCAGGUUGGGUUUAGUAGGUUAUAAUGGUUAUUCUACGAUAGGAUUAAUUUUGUUUAUACUGUAACCAGGUAUUACAGGGGAAAACAUCAUUUAAUUUCUGGAUUCAGUUUUGAUUCUUUUAUUAAAAAUAGCUGGAUAGUGAUCUUAAUGAAACAUUGCAUUUAUUUCAUACAAGUCGCUGGUACAAUUUGCUUCUGGCAAAUAAAUUUGUGUCACUGUCUAUUUUAUCAGGUGAAAACACCAGCAUGUUGUUUGAGGUGCAUGCAUCGGUUGCAGCGAAGAUGUGCGUAUGAAGAUGCAUGGCUGACCAUGGAGCACUGCAAGGCUUCAGAAUAUGUACCGCAACUUGCUCCUACCACCAUGCAAGUGGUCGAUGCUUCAGUUAUGAACUAUUGAUUAAUCCCUCUUUUUUCUUUGAUCUAUGUGAUGGUACCCCUUACCAUAAAUACUUGUUAUGUGAAUUCAAUAGAAAUGAUGUUUUAUGAAUGUUUGAUAGUUAUAAAACAAAUGUCAUAGACGAUAGCUAUUGCUAUUAUGGAGGUGUUUUCAACUAUUGUUCAACUGCUAUUCAAUGUUUGAUGCUCCUUCAUUAUUUUUAUACAGAAGGGCUAAAGCUCCAAUCUUACAUGUUUGCUCAAAC
rnacentral:lncRNA from 1 species